rnacentral:rRNA from 1 species
CCUACGGGCGGCUGCAGUGGGGAAUAUUGGACAAUGGGCGAAAGCCUGAUCCAGCCAUGCCGCGUGUGUGAAGAAGGCCUUCGGGUUGUAAAGCACUUUCAGUGGGGAAGAAAGCCUUGGGGCUAAUACCCUCGAGGAAGGACAUCACCCACAGAAGAAGCACCGGCUAACUCCGUGCCAGCAGCCGCGGUAAUACGGAGGGUGCGAGCGUUAAUCGGAAUUACUGGGCGUAAAGCGCGCGUAGGCGGUCUGAUAAGCCGGUUGUGAAAGCCCCGGGCUCAACCUGGGAACGGCAUCCGGAACUGUCAGGCUAGAGUGCAGGAGAGGAAGGUAGAAUUCCCGGUGUAGCAGUGAAAUGCGUAGAGAUCGGGAGGAAUACCAGUGGCGAAGGCGGCCUUCUGGACUGACACUGACGCUGAGGUGCGAAAGCGUGGGUAGCAAACAGGAUUAGAUACCCUGGUAGUC